CUGAUUUUUUCUUCUGCAACAUCUAAUCUGCUAUUAACCACAGAGAUUUUUCAUCGUUGACAUCGUAGGCUUUGUCUCUCAAAAUCUGACUUACUUUUUUUAAUAUUUUCUAUGUCUCUACUUAGCACAUUUUAUCGUUCCUCUAGCUUUUUGAUCGUACAAAUACAGUUAUAAUAACUAUUUUAAUGUCCUUCUUAUCUAUUAAUUUUUUCAACUGUGUCAAUUCUGAGUCAGUUUUGAUUAAUUGAUGUUUAUCCUUAUUUUGUAUUGUACUUUUCUGCUUUUUUUUUUUUCAUGAACCAGACAUUGUGAUUCUUACACUGCUGGCUGCUGAAUAUUUUUGUAUUCCUGUCCAUUUUGUUUUUUUUUUUUUCUGGUAUGUGAUAAAUUACUUCAAAAUACUUUGGUUCUCUUUGAUCUUGCUCUUAAGCAUUGUUAGAUAGGACCAGUGGAGCAUUAAGUUCAGGGACAAUUUUCCUCCCUACUGAGGCAAAACCCUUCUGAGUAUCCUACUUGAUAAACCAUAAAUUGUGAGGUUUCCCACUCUGACUGCUAAGAAAAUGGGCAUUAUUGUAGAACCUGAUUGAGCUUUGGGUAUAUUUCCCACUAAUUCCUCUGAGUGAUUAUUUAUCAAGCCUCUCUCCUUUCAGGUACUCCACCAUGUGAAAUGUAACUACCUUGAUCUCCCUGCUCCCUUUUCCUUAAUUCAGAGAGACUCCUAGACUCCAUGUGGCUUCUUCUGCCUGCAUCAUGGCCUGGAAACCGUCCACAUGAUAGCCUAAAUCAAUCAUAGGACUCACCAGAUUCAGUGAGUACAUGUGCAGGUUCAUUAUCAGCAUGUAUUGCAUGAUGCUGAGAUUUGGAGUACAAAUGAUCUCAUCACCCAGGGUCUUGCUCUGUCACCCAGCCUGGAGUGCAAUGGCGUGAUCCGCUCACAGCGACCUCUGCCUCCUGGGUUCAGGCAAUUCUCCUGCCUCAGCCUCUUGAGUACCUAGGAUUACAGGCGCACACCACCACGACCGGUGGUCGCAUUUUAAAGAACUGAACCGAUGCCAAAUACAGACAGCAAUUUUUAUGGGAGAGACAAACAGAGAGAAGAAAAGGAAAACCAAAAGACAAUAAAAAGACGGGAUACAUCAGAGGAUAAAAGGAGCUCAUUUCCUGUAGAGGAACAAACUCCUUUCCUGUCUUCCUGUCUCACUCCCCCAACCAGGACAGCUCCUCUAUCUACAGCAGGCCCUAAGUCACACCUCCAUUGACCUAAUAAAAACUGGUUCCUAUCAC
rnacentral:lncRNA from 1 species